rnacentral:rRNA from 1 species
UAGGGAAUCUUCGGCAAUGGGGGGAACCCUGACCGAGCAACGCCGCGUGAGUGAAGAAGGUUUUCGGAUCGUAAAGCUCUGUUGUUAAGGAAGAACGAGUGUGAGAAUGGAAAGUUCAUACUGUGACGGUACUUAACCAGAAAGGGACGGCUAACUACGUGCCAGCAGCCGCGGUAAUACGUAGGUCCCGAGCGUUGUCCGGAUUUAUUGGGCGUAAAGCGAGCGCAGGCGGUUAGAUAAGUCUGAAGUUAAAGGCAGUGGCUCAACCAUUGUAGGCUUUGGAAACUGUUUAACUUGAGUGCAGAAGGGGAGAGUGGAAUUCCAUGUGUAGCGGUGAAAUGCGUAGAUAUAUGGAGGAACACCGGUGGCGAAAGCGGCUCUCUGGUCUGUAACUGACGCUGAGGCUCGAAAGCGUGGGGAGCGAACAGGAUUAGAUACUCUGGUAGUCCACGCCGUAAACGAUGAGUGCUAGGUGUUAGGUCCUUUCCGGGACUUAGUGCCGCAGCUAACGCAUUAAGCACUCCGCCUGGGGAGUACGACCGCAAGGUUG